UGAAUAGCGAUGAUGGGGUCUUAGUAGUGAUGAUUUCCCUGUAUCAAGAGAGCCGGUGGACGGUGUGAACCGGCACAAAGAUCAUCAUGAAUUACCGCCCCUUGAGCUUUCUUUGUGAACAAAGAACGGGCGGACCGUUAUACCGAAUGAGCGGAAGAACGAACAUGUUCUUCAAUUAGGGUGGUACCGCGUGCAAUCGGCAAAAAUCACGUCCCUUUU
rnacentral:ncRNA from 1 species